rnacentral:misc_RNA from 1 species
CGCGGUAAAGAGAGAUGGGAGACGAAAAGGUGAAGAAUGAAGCAAUGGAGAUAAUGGGAUUGUUCCAAGUUCUUCCUCGUCUCGUCGUCUUCGAUCUUGAUUAUACCCUUUGGCCCUUUUAUUGUGAAUGCCGCUCCAAAAAUGAGAAGCCAUCGAUGUAUCCUCAGGCCAAAGGUAUCUUGCAUGCCUUCAAAGACAAAGGAGUGAAUGUUGCUAUUGCCUCAAGAUCGCCAACUCCAGAUAUAGCAAAUGCUUUCCUUCAAAAACUGGAGAUAAAAUCAAUGUUUGUAGCCCAGGAG